CCGGGACCGGGCACCCCCGUCAGUGCGCGCAUGCGUGGAGCGCUACGCGGGCUCUUGUUGGCACACGGAAGCUGCGGCUGCCGGGACCUCGUGGCGCAACGGCACUUGUGCAGCCUCAGAGGCAGCUCUGGCAACAGGACUGGAGUGGGUGGACCUCAUGGAACCAACAGGGGCUGGAGCUUGUGCUGAUGCUCAUCUCCUGUGGUGCUGUGGGAACUCCUGGGACACUUCCAGCUUUCACUCUUCCAGAAGGGUUUUUCUACAUCAAAGUGAAAUUCCUUUGCAGGUGACUUCACCACAGAAGUUACAUCAGAGGAGCUGCUAA
rnacentral:lncRNA from 14 species